AGUGAACGCUGGCGGUAGGCCUAACACAUGCAAGUCGAACGGCAGCACAGUAAGAGCUUGCUCUUACGGGUGGCGAGUGGCGGACGGGUGAGGAAUACAUCGGAAUCUACUUUUUCGUGGGGGAUAACGUAGGGAAACUUACGCUAAUACCGCAUACGACCUACGGGUGAAAGCAGGGGAUCUUCGGACCUUGCGCGAUUGAAUGAGCCGAUGUCGGAUUAGCUAGUUGGCGGGGUAAAGGCCCACCAAGGCGACGAUCCGUAGCUGGUCUGAGAGGAUGAAUCGCCACCCUUGGACUGGAACACGGUCCCGGCUCCUGACGGAGGGCAGAGUGGGGAAUUUUUGGCCAAGGGGGCCAGCCUUCUCCAACCAUUCCACCUUGGUGAAAAAAGCCUUCCGGUUUUUAAACCCCUUUGUUGGGAAAGAAAAGCAGCAGGUUAAUACCCCGCUGUUCUGACGGUACCCAAAGAAUAAGCGCCGGCUAACUUCGUG
rnacentral:rRNA from 1 species